AUACGGAGGAUGCAAGCGUUAUCCGGAUUUAUUGGGUUUAAAGGGUGCGUAGGCGGGACUGUAAGUCAGGGGUGAAAUACUGCAGCUUAACUGUAGCAUUGCCUUUGAAACUGCCGUUCUUGAGUACAGUUGAGGUAGGCGGAAUGUGGUGUGUAGCGGUGAAAUGCAUAGAUAUACCACAGAAAGCCGAUUGCGAAGGCAGCUUACUAAGCUGUUACUGACGCUGAGGCACGAAAGCGUGGGGAUCAAACAGGAUUAGAUACCCUGGUAGUCCACGCUGUAAACGAUGAUUACUGGUUGUUAGCGAUAUAUAGCUAGUGACUGAGCGAAAGCAUUAAGUAAUCCACCUGGGGAGUACGUCGGCAACGAUGAAACUUAAAGGAAUUGACGGGG
rnacentral:rRNA from 1 species